UACGUAGGUGGCAAGCGUUGUCCGGAUUUACUGGGCGUAAAGGAUGCGUAGGCGGACAUUUAAGUCAGAUGUGAAAUACACGAGCUUAACUUGGGUGCUGCAUUUGAAACUGGGUGUCUAGAGUGCAGGAGAGGUAAGUGGAAUUCCUAGUGUAGCGGUGAAAUGCGUAGAGAUUAGGAAGAACACCAGUGGCGAAGGCGACUUACUGGACUGUAACUGACGCUGAGGCAUGAAAGCGUGGGGAGCAAACAGG
rnacentral:rRNA from 1 species